UACGUAGGGCGCAAGCGUUGUCCGGAAUUAUUGGGCGUAAAGAGCUCGUAGGCGGUCUGUCGCGUCUGGUGUGAAAUCCCGAGGCUCAACCUCGGGCUUGCAUCGGGUACGGGCAGACUAGAGUGCGGUAGGGGAGACUGGAAUUCCUGGUGUAGCGGUGGAAUGCGCAGAUAUCAGGAGGAACACCGAUGGCGAAGGCAGGUCUCUGGGCCGCAACUGACGCUGAGGAGCGAAAGCAUGGGGAGCGAACAGG
rnacentral:rRNA from 1 species